rnacentral:rRNA from 1 species
AACGCUGGCGGCAUGCCUUACACAUGCAAGUCGAACGGCAGCACGGGGGCAACCCUGGUGGCGAGUGGCGAACGGGUGAGUAACGCAUCGGAACGUGCCCAGUAGUGGGGGAUAACCAGUCGAAAGACUGGCUAAUACCGCAUACGCCCUACGGGGGAAAGCAGGGGACCUUCGGGCCUUGCGCGAUUGGAUAUGCCCAGGUGGGAUUAGCUUGUUGGUGAGGUAAUGGCUCUCCAAGGCGACGAUCCCUAGCUGGUCUGAGAGGAUGAUCAGCCACACUGGAACUGAGACACGGUCCAGACUCCUACGGGAGGCAGCAGUGGGGAAUAUUGCACAAUGGGGGAAACCCUGAUGCAGCCAUGCCGCGUGUGUGAAGAAGGCCUUCGGGUUGUAAAGCACUUUCAGCGAGGAGGAAAGGUUGAUGCCUAAUACGCAUCAGCUGUGACGUUACUCGCAGAAGAAGCACCGGCUAACUCCGUG